rnacentral:rRNA from 1 species
UACGUAGGGGGCGAGCGUUGUCCGGAUUUAUUGGGCGUAAAGAGCGUGUAGGCGGUUCGGUAAGUCUGUCGUGAAAUCCUGAGGCUCAACCUCGGGCGUGCGAUGGAUACUGCCGGGCUAGAGGGUGGUAGAGGCGAGUGGAAUUCCCGGUGUAGCGGUGAAAUGCGCAGAUAUCGGGAGGAACACCGGUGGCGAAGGCGGCGACCUGGGUAGAUACUGACGCUGAGGUGCGAAAGCGUGGGGAGCAAACAGG